UCCGCCGGAGAUUUCAGAGGUUGCAAGUUAUGGUGCUUUGUUGACAGCCAGAGACAGUGUCAGCCUCGCUGGGAAGUUGAGGACGAUUCGAUGAAAUGGAGGCUGGUUAUGGAGACGAUUCGGCUUCCGGUGACGACGAUGACUUCGGUUUUCGCGGCAAGCUUGAGUGGUCAAGCGGUGGCGAUGAUUGGCGGCGGCGGGGAAGAAAGCGGGACGACGAUGAUGAUGAUGAUGACGAAGGGGGAGAAAAAUGGCGGGAAGUGGAGCCACGUCAGCACUCCGUCUGUUUUUUCAAGUCUUCCUUUCUCCUAUGCUUCAAUCUACGUCUAAUGAUCUGAAGCU
rnacentral:lncRNA from 1 species